AGCGUGCGCAGGAUCUCCGGCGGGCUCAGCUGGUGCAUGUGCUCCAGGCAGUAGGCGACGCCCACAGCCACCCGCAGGCGCGUCGGCCAGUCCAGGUGGCCGUCUUCUCUGACUGCAGGUGCAGGGCAGACAGCAUCAGUUGCAGUGAUUCUGCUCCAUUACCGUGGAGAUGCUCGAAGAGUGUGCCGUUCGGAGCGUACUCGAACACCAUCAUCCUGGUGAAGGGCUGUUCUUCCUGGCAGUAGCCCAGCAGGUUCACGAAGUUCUUGUGGUUGACUCUGGACAAGCUUGCUAUCUGAAGUAAAACACUAGUUGCCAUUAGUGUAGUAUGGAAAGGUUUACAUUAGUACAGUUGCCAUUAGCAUGGAAAUAUUCACAUUAGUACCUGCCCUUGCCAUAAUUACGGAAAGAUUCACAUUAGUACCUGCCCUUAAUGUCAAUUUGUUUGUUUUAUGGUGA